CGAUAGCAUCUAGCUAGCUAGGUGCAGAGCUAGACAUCUUGUUGUGCAAUAUUUCAAAAAGCACGGCCGCAUAUGCGGUGCAGUGCCUGGUUGGGUUUUCUCUCUCUCUCUCUCUCUCUCUCUCUCGAUCUCUCCAGAAGAAAAAGAAGCAGCAGCAGCAGCAGCAGCGUGCGGCGCGCGGCGAGCUGCAGGGAGCAAAGCGCGAGCGGCGAGCGCUGGCUGAGAACGAGCCACCUGCCCGGCCUCCCUUUCUGUCUGCGCUGACUGAGGCCGAGCCGCCGCCUACCCGGUCCCGUUCUCUCUGUCUAGCCUUCCACACCGGACGAGGCUAGGGAUCGCGGAAAGGGCAUUGCCUCGAGCUAGCCCUUUGGCGAGGGACGUAUCGAUAGGUGGUCUACCUCUCAUCGGUUUUAUUUUGGAGAGGUUGAGAGUUGUACCAUGUAUAGAGACCACCCAUUUUGUAUUUUGAGACAGUUGAUGUAUCUACUUUAUGCUUUAUCUUUGGUGGAUUAGUUUUCUUUUUUCUCUACUUGUUCUUAGAAUUUAA